CGUGCUAGAUGGGGAGUUAGCGGCACCCUGUAACCUACAAUCCGCUAUAGUAGGAUUGAUCCUAGCCUAGGCAGCUAUAUGUAAGGUCUGCCCUAAAUAAGUGAUGUUGACGAUUGGGUCCUGUGCAACGAGAAAUCAUGAACCUUGUCAGAUCCGGAAGGAAGCAGCAAUAAGUGAUAACUCUCGUGUGCCACGGGGGUGCCUGUUCCGAGUUAACUAUUUAGGUAACGC
rnacentral:SRP_RNA from 1 species